rnacentral:rRNA from 1 species
GACGAACGCUGGCGGCGUGCUUAACACAUGCAAGUCGAACGAGGCCCCUCCUUCGGGAGGGUGUCCUAGUGGCGAACGGGUGAGUAACACGUGGGCAACCUGCCCCCGGCUCUGGGAUAACCCCAAGAAAUUGGGGCUAAUACCGGAUAUGACCGCUGACCGCCUGGUCCGGUGGUGGAAAGAUUUUUUCGGCUGGGGAUGGGCCCGCGGCCUAUCAGCGUGUUGGUGGGGUAGUGGCCUACCAAGGCGACGACGGGUAGCCGGCCUGAGAGGGUGACCGGCCACACUGGGACUGAGACACGGCCCAGACUCCUACGGGAGGCAGCAGUGGGGAAUAUUGCGCAAUGGGCGGAAGCCUGACGCAGCGACGCCACGUGGGGGAUGACGGCCUUCGGGUUGUAAACCUCUUUCAGCAGGGACGAAGCGAAAGUGACGGUACCUGCAGAAGAAGCACCGGCCAACUACGUGCCAGCCGCCGCCGUAA